UUGCAACCCCAGGAUGGGCGGGUUUACCCGCUGAGUUUAAGCAUAUCAAUAAGCGGAGGAGAGGGAACUUACAAGGAUUCCCCUA
rnacentral:rRNA from 1 species